GUUCCCUACGGGACGCAGCAGUAGGGAAUCUUCCACAAUGGACGAAAGUCUGAUGGAGCAACGCCGCGUGAGUGAAGAAGGGUUUCGGCUCGUAAAGCUCUGUUGGUAGUGAAGAAAGAUAGAGGUAGUAACUGGCCUUUAUUUGACGGUAAUUAUUUUGAAAGUCACGGCUAACUACGUGCCAGCAGCCGCGGUAAUACGUAGGUGGCAAGCGUUGUCCGGAUUUAUUGGGCGUAAAGCGAGUGCAG
rnacentral:rRNA from 1 species